rnacentral:snRNA from 1 species
GUGCUCACUUUGGCAGUACAUAUACUAACCCUGGAAGGAUACAGGGAAGAUUAGCAUGGCCCCUGCACAAGGAUGACACACAAAUUUAUGAAGCAUUCCGUAUUUUU